GACGAACGCUGGCGGCGUGCUUAACACGUGCAAGUCGAACGGAAAGGCCCUGCUUUUGUGGGGUGCUCGAGUGGCGAACGGGUGAGUAACACGUGAGUAACCUGCCCUUGACUUUGGGAUAACUUCAGGAAACUGGGGCUAAUACCGGAUAGGAGCUCCUGCUGCAUGGUGGGGGUUGGAAAGUUUCGGCGGUUGGGGAUGGACUCGCGGCUUAUCAGCUUGUUGGUGGGGUAGUGGCUUACCAAGGCUUUGACGGGUAGCCGGCCUGAGAGGGUGACCGGCCAAAAUGGGACUGAGGUAACGGCCCAGCUCCUAAGGGGGGGAAGAGUGGGGAAUAUUGCACAAUGGGCGGAAGCCUGAUGCAGCAACGCCGCGUGCGGGAUGACGGCCUUCGGGUUGUAAACCGCUUUCGCCUGUGACGAAGCGUGAGUGACGGUAAUGGGUAAAGAAGCACCGGCUAACUACGUG
rnacentral:rRNA from 1 species